GAUCAGGUUGUUGGUGGGGUAACGGCUCACCAAGCCUAUAACCGGUACGGGCCGUGAGAGCGGGAGCCCGGAGAUGGGCACUGAGACAAGGGCCCAGGCCCUACGGGGCGCAGCAGUCGCGAAAACUCCGCAAUGCGCGAAAGCGUGACGGGGCUACCCCGAGUGCCGUCCGCUGAGGAUGGCUUUUCCCCGGUGUAAUGAGCCGAGGGAAUAAGGAGAGGGCAAGACUGGUGUCAGCCGCCGCGGUAAUACCAGCUCUCCGAGUGGUAGGGAUGAUUAUUGGGCUUAAAGCGUCCGUAGCCGGCUUAGCAAGUCUCCUGUCAAAUUCAGCGACCUAAUCGUUGAACCGCGUGAUACACUACUAGGCUACGACGCGGGACAGGCCGACGGUAUUCUCGGGGUAGGGGUGAAAUCCUAU
rnacentral:rRNA from 1 species